rnacentral:rRNA from 1 species
GAUAGCCCGCUGAAAGGCGGAUUAAUACUGCAUAAUAUGGUACAAUCGCAUGGUUGAACUAUAAAAGCUGAGGCGGUAAAGGAUGGGCAUGCGUGACAUUAGCUUGUUGGCGGGGUAACGGCCCACCAAGGCUACGAUGUCUAGGGGUUCUGAGAGGAAGGUCCCCCACACUGGUACUGAGACACGGACCAGACUCCUACGGGAGGCAGCAGUGAGGAAUAUUGGUCAAUGGGCGCGAGCCUGAACCAGCCAUCCCGCGUGCAGGAAGACGGCCCUAUGGGUUGUAAACUGCUUUUGUGCAGGAAGAACGUACAGAUCGUGAUUUGUAGUGACGGUACUGCAUGAAUAAGCACCGGCUAACUCCGUGCCAGCAGCCGCGGUAAUACGGAGGGUGCAAGCGUUAUCCGGAUUUAUUGGGUUUAAAGGGUGCGUAGGCGGUUAAAUAAGUCAGUGGUGAAAAGCUGCAGCUCAACUGUAGUCCUGCCAUUGAAACUGUUUUACUUGAGUAACCAUGAGGUAGGCGGAAUGUGUAGUGUAGCGGUGAAAUGCUUAGAUAUUACACAGAACACCGAUUGCGUAGGCAGCUUACUAGAGGUUUACUGACGCUGAUGCACGAAAGCGUGGGGAUCAAACAGGAUUAGAU